CCCAGACUAGCAAGGAGUCCAGUCUGUGAAAGAAGCUUAUUGAAACAUCUCUGAGGAUUUCAGCUUUGAAAUCCAUCUGGCCUGUGGGCAAAUUAAAAACUUGAUCCCCUUUCCCACUGGCAGAAGUUGGUCCAAUCAAAGCGAUUACCUCACCCACCUUGUCUCCCCAGUAGUGUGGGACCAGCACGGCUACAACCACCCCUGCAUGAUUAAACAUUGUCAGUGAUGGAGAACCCACGGCGACCCUUGGAAAUCAGAACUGGACACAGGAAUCCAGCAGUAGUCACAUGAGCGCCAGAUACGGCGG